rnacentral:tRNA from 1 species
GCAUUGGUGUUUCAAUGGUAGAAUUCCUGCUUCCCAUUCAAGAGAUCUGGGUUCAAUUCCCAGCCAGUGCA